rnacentral:rRNA from 1 species
AUGAACGCUAGCGGCAGGCUUAACACAUGCAAGUCGAGGGGUAACAGAGAAAGCUUGCUUUCUGCUGACGACCGGCGCACGGGUGCGUAACGCGUAUACAAUCUACCUCUAACUAAGGGAUAGCCCAGAGAAAUUUGGAUUAACACCUUAUAGUAUUACAUUUUCGCAUGUUUAUGUAAUUAAAACUCCGGUGGUUAGAGAUGAGUAUGCGUCCCAUUAGCUUGUUGGUAAGGUAACGGCUUACCAAGGCAACGAUGGGUAGGGGGCCUGAGAGGGUGAUCCCCCACACUGGUACUGAGACACGGACCAGACUCCUACGGGAGGCAGCAGUGAGGAAUAUUGGUCAAUGGACGAAAGUCUGAACCAGCCAUGCCGCGUGAAGGAUGAAUGCCCUACGGGUUGUAAACUUCUUUUAUAUAGGAAGAAACCUCUCUACGUGUAGAGAGUUGACGGUACUAUACGAAUAAGGACCGGCUAACUCCGUGCCAGCAGCCGCGGUAAUACGGAGGGUCCAAGCGUUAUCCGGAUUCAUUGGGUUUAAAGGGUGCGUAGGCGGAAUAUUAAGUCAGUGGUGAAAUCCUAUAGCCCAACUAUAGAACUGCCAUUGAUACUGGUACUCUUGAGUUUGGUUGAAGUGGGCGGAAUAUGUCAUGUAGCGGUGAAAUGCAUAGAUAUGACAUAGAACACCGAUCGCGAAGGCAGCUUACUAAGCUAUUACUGACACUGAGGGACGAAAGCGUGGGGAGCGAACAGGAUUAGAUACCCUGGUAGUCCACGCUGUAAACGGUGAUCACUAGUGCUGGCGAUACACUGUCAGUGACUAAGCGAAAGUGUUAAGUGAUCCACCUGGGGAGUACGAUCGCAAGGUUGAAACUCAAAGGAAUUGACGGGGGCCCGCACAAGCGGUGGAGCAUGUGGUUUAAUUCGAUGAUACGCGAGGAACCUUACCAGGGCUUAAAUGCAAAAUGACAGAUGUGGAAACACGUCCUUCUUCGGACAGUUUGCAAGGUGCUGCAUGGCUGUCGUCAGCUCGUGCCGUGAGGUGUUGGGUUAAGUCCCGUAACGAGCGCAACCCCUAUCUUUAGUUGCCAGCGGUUCGGCCGGGGACUCUAAAGAAACUGCCAGCGUAAGCUGUGAGGAAGGUGGGGAUGACGUCAAGUCAUCACGGCCCUUACGUCCUGGGCCACACACGUGCUACAAUGGUGAGUACAAAGGGCAGCUACCUGGUGACAGGAUGCUAAUCUCUAAAGCUCAUCUCAGUUCGGAUUGGAGUCUGCAACUCGACUCUAUGAAGCUGGAAUCGCUAGUAAUCGCGCAUCAGCCAUGGCGCGGUGAAUACGUUCCCGGGCCUUGUACACACCGCCCGUCAAACAAUGGAAGCUGGGGGUACCUGAAGUCGGUAACCGUAAGGAGCUGCCUAGGGUAAAACUGGUAACUGGGGCUA